CCUACGGGUGGCUGCAGUGGGGAAUAUUGCACAAUGGGCGAAAGCCUGAUGCAGCAACGCCGCGUGAGUGAUGAAGGUCUUCGGAUUGUAAAGCUCUGUCUUUUGGGACGAUAAUGACGGUACCAAAGGAGGAAGCCACGGCUAACUACGUGCCAGCAGCCGCGGUAAUACGUAGGUGGCAAGCGUUGUCCGGAUUUACUGGGCGUAAAGGGUGCGUAGGUGGAUAUUUAAGUCAGAUGUGAAAUCCCUGGGCUCAACCCAGGACCUGCAUUUGAAACUGGAUAUCUUGAGUGCGGGAGAGGUAAGUGGAAUUCCUAGUGUAGCGGUGAAAUGCGUAGAGAUUAGGAAGAACACCAGUGGCGAAGGCGACUUACUGGACCGUAACUGACACUGAGGCACGAAAGCGUGGGUAGCAAACAGGAUUAGAUACCCCUGUAGUC
rnacentral:rRNA from 1 species